rnacentral:lncRNA from 1 species
GCAGGCACCUGCAUCUGGACUAUGGAAAAGCUGUGGUGACCCGAAGCUGCCAUGGUGGGGACCUAAAUCACAAUGUCAUCAUAAGAAGAUAGAGAGAGACACAAGGAAUGCACAAAGAAAAGGCACGUGAAGACACAGGGAGAAGGCAGCCAUAUGCAAGCCAGUGAGAGAAGCCUACCAACAUGGUGCAUUGCUCUUGAAGGCCCAGCCUCCAGAACUGUGAGAAAACAAAUCUCUGUUUCUGAAGCUGCCAUCUUGUGAACUGUCUAUGGAAAAAGCUAUGUAGCGGGGAACAGUGGGUAGCCUCUUGGGAGCUGAGAGUGGCCUCAAUCUGACAUUCUGGAAAAACCUGAAAAUUUUCGUCCUAAAAAUGUAAAGAAAUGCAUUCUCCCAAUAACAUUAGGGAGUUGGAAGUUGAUUCUUCCCUACUCAAAAUUACAGCAACAUGGAUGAAGACUAUUAUCCCGAGUGAAAUAACUCAGAAAAAGAAAAUCAAAGAUCAUUUAGUGUAUAAUUCUUAAAACCCUGAAAUGUUACAGAUUUAAUUUGACCGACAGAAGCAAAAGACCUGUGAAUAUGUUAUCUUACAUGGCCAAAACGACGUUGCAGGUGUGCUGAAAGUCACAAGUCUUGAGAUGGGAAAAUUGUCCUGCAUCAUCCUGAUGGAUUACAUCUAAUCCCAUCGGUCCUUAAAAGAGAAGAAUCUUUCCCAGGGAGAAAGAUAUAAUAUGAGAAGGACUUGACCCUGUGUGUCUGGCUUUGAAGGUGGAGAAAUGUAGUCAUAAGCCAAUCAACGCAGCUGUCUCUAGAAGCGGAAACUACCUUCAGUACAGAACCAGCAGGAAAACAGAAACCUUGGUCCUAUAGCUGCAAAGAACAGAGCUCUACUAACCACAGCAGAGAGCAAAGAACAAUUGCCUUAGAGCUUCCAGAAACAAUGCAGCAGAUCACCAAUUUCCUUUUAGUCUGGCCAGUUGUGUAUAAACCUUCUGACCUAUAGUAUAGACCUGUGAGAUAAUAAAUAUGUGCUGUUUUAU